GGUAAGGCAGGAGUUGAGAACAACAUAUUGUGCCGGUGUGAGUGCCCUGCUCUUAUGAGGCUGCUGCACUCAAAGGAUAAUGGUUGGUAUAUAGCUGAGCAUCGUGAAGAGCACAACCACUCAUUGUCACCAAACUGCAGGGAGACAAUACACUGGGCAUCAUACAAGCACAUAGAUGUGUACAUCCGGGACCUGAUAAAGCUGUUGCGCCAGAACAAUGUGAAUCUGUUGGAAGUGUACAGCAUCAUAGGUAGUUUUUUUUCAAUGGAUAAUAUCCCAUUCACAAAGCGAGCUUUGAGGAAUUUGUGUGGUAAAAUCAGCGGUGAGCAAGCAGAAGAUGAUGUUAGGAAGGCAAUGGAAGUUUUUGCAUAACUUGGGGCGAAGGAUCCACACUUCACAUAUCAUGUUCAAGCUGACAAGGAUGGGAGGAUCAAUACCUUGAUGUGGGCCAAAUGGUAA
rnacentral:rRNA from 1 species